rnacentral:misc_RNA from 1 species
UCUCCGUUGGUGAACCAGCGGAGGGAUCAUUACUGGAAUCGCAAGAUCCCACAACCCCUGUGAACCUACCGAAACGUUGCCUCGGCGGGCGCCCGGCCCUGCGCCGGGCGCUGAGCCCGCCGGCGGCCCCCUACUCCUGUAUUUCUUACUUUGCAUGUCUGAGUGGAAUCAUAAACAAAUGAAUCAAAACUUUCAACAACGGAUCUCUUGGUUCCG